rnacentral:lncRNA from 1 species
AUAAAAACGUUAUUUUAAAGCACAUAGGCAAAACUAGCUAAUAACUUCUUAUACAUUGCUCAAAAUGGGUAUAUAAAUAUACUACAAUGACCUACACAACCUCACGAACAUCGUGAAAUUUUUAGAAUAAUUUUUCAGUGGCUCACGCGCCGCCAAGGGCACGGCAAAACGCACCCCCACGCGCGGCCAAACUUGACGGAUUCCCUAACCACCGUUAGGGAAUAUUUCGUUAAAACCUAACAUAUUCUGUUACAUUUAACUGACGGCGUCAGAAUAUUCCGUCAGAAUUGACGAAAUAUUCCGUCUUUUUCAACCUCAGACUCCGGCGACUGUCGCCGUCACCGAAAACUGGGAAAAUCUUUAAACUCACUAAUCUCGCUCGUUUCUCAACCAUUUCCUACAAAAUUACUACCAAAAUGACGCUUAAAGUUUAUAGAAUCACGUUAUACCUAUUUGAAGCCUCAAAUCUCACGAAAUCACGUCAGGGAAAGCUUAAAAAUCCGAUGACCUCUGCAACUCCUCGAACCUGGGCUUCCCGAUGUCCAAUUUUCACCAAUGGUCCACUCCGAGCUUCCUUAGGACCUCCUAAAGCUCCCUAUGAGCUUAAAAACUCCUAAAAACCACGCAUUAAUUAGUGCAUGCACAAUACUUAAGGUCGAGGUUAUGGUUUCUCAGGUUUUCAACGUCCAAAACACCUCGAAACUUCUCAAAAGCUUAAAUAAAGUUGUUUAGAACCUUUCUUAACCAUUAAAACACGUUAAAACAACCACGAUCAAAGUCAAGGUACUGUACCUGACACCGGAGCUUCUAGCUCCUCGAGUUCCUGUGAACUUCUCCUUGAACUAAGGGUACCAUUCGACUCGUGGAGUUACCAGGAAGACGAUGGUGACUUUAAAUCCCUCGAUCUGUAAAUGGUAACUGGUGUUUGGGAGUUGUCCGUACUAGAAGAGAGAGAGAGAGAGAGUGAACCAAGAAGGAAAGUACGGGAGUGAGAGAGAGAAGGUGAAGUGGAUGUGUGUGUGUGGUCUAGAAUUGGUCAACAACCCAAAAUACACAAUAUACCUAAUUCUAAUUGGUCCAAAACAAUUAGGAUUUGAGAAUAGUGACCCAUACACAACACUUAGACCACAUCACACAAUUUAACGUCCAUGGGUAUUUCCGUCAUUUCACAUCAUCAAGAAUAAAACAACACACAUCUCCGAGACAGGCUGUGACAAUCUCCCCACCUUAUAAAAUUUCAUCCUCGAAAUUACAUACAACCAAUACAUCCACUAAUAAUCAUAAAACAAGCGUGGAUACAUCUCUCUCAUUCGAUCCCCUAUCUCCCAAGUAGCGUCUUCCAUUGAAUGAUUUCUCCAUAACACUUUUACCAAACGAAUUGUCUUGUUCUUUAGUUCUUUAUCCUUCCAAUCCAACAGAGUCACUGGCUCCUCAUCAUAAGUCAAGUUCGAAUUGAUUUCCAAGGGUUGAGGGGGAAUCACAUGUGAAAACAUCCCACAUUGCCCAGGGGAGUGAUCCUUAAAUGUAUAUUUCCAUCCCUACCUAGCACGAGGCUUUUUGGGAGCUCACUGGCUUCGGGUUCUGUAGGAACUCCGAAGUUAAGUGAGAAGGAGGCCAGAGCACUCCCAUGAUGGGUGACCCACUGGGAAGUUGCUCGUGAGUUCCCAGAAACAAAACCGUGAUGACGUGAUCGGGGCCCAAAGCAGACAAUAUCGUGCAACGGUGGUAGAGUGAGCCCGGGAAGUGGUCCACCCCGAGCCGGGAUGUGACAAGGCUAGCAAUAAUGUGAUUCAAUUUAUCUAUUUUUAAACACGUUCAAAACAUCUUAAGAGGCGUGUAAUGCAGAUUAUAAAUUCGCACAUGGCUAAUAAUGUGAUUAAAUUAGUUGUCAAAUAAAUUUUUUUUUUUUUGUAACAAACGAUAUUAUCUAUACUAAGGGGAAAUGAGGUGGGCUUAGUCUCAUAAUGGGCUAGCAAUAAUGUGAUUCAAUUAGUUGUUUAUUAAAUAUUAUGCUCUCUAUUUUAAACACGUUCAAAACAUCUUAAAAGACAUGUAAUGCCAGUUACAAAAAAGUCUUUCGCACGCGGAUAAUAAUGUGAUUAAAUUAGUUGUCAAAUGAUUUUUUUUAACAAACAAUAUUAUCUACACUAAGGGGGAUGGGUAUGUUUUGCCUCACAAUAGGCUAACAAUAAUGUGAUUCAAUCAAUUGUUUAUUAAAUAUUAUUUUAUCUAUUCUUAAUAUAAAUUCUAUAGAGACUGAUUUUAUUAUGUGAAUUCAGCUGCUUUAAUUAAUUUAUGAGAGGUUUCUUCUAGCGUUAAGUGGCAUCAACUCCUUAUCUUUUUCCUUAUUUUUUUUCUUCGUGUCCUCCCCCUCCCCUUUUCUUUUCUAAUUCUAGCUCUAUCUCCAUCUUUGUUUUUCUUUCUUAAUUGGAUAUUCAUUAUUUGUUUCUUAAUCCAAAUUAUUUUCCCAUAAAAUCUUCUCUUUCUUUGUGUUUUCUUUCCUCACGUAUAAUCAUCUUCCUCAUCAAUCAUCUCUUCUUUUCCAGUGUUUUUGGACUUUUUUUGUUCUUUUUCUUUUUGUUGUGUAUCAGCAUGGUGCUCCUAAUUAAACAUGGUAUUAUCUACCCAUAACAUACGAUUUUUUUUUGUCUAACGCUGCCACAGAUUUUAGUUUUUUUUUUCUUUUCUUACCUCCAUCACAGAGAAUAUUUGUAUAAUUUACUUGUAUUACGUGUUCUUUUUAUCUAGCUACCUCUACCAUAGAUGUUAGUUUUUUAGUCUAAUACCUCCAUUCACAUAUUACUUGUAUAUACAUGUAUUAAUUUUUCUACUUGUAUCACAGGUUCAUUUUUUUUUAAAGAAAAACUAAUGAAAAUGGCUUGAAAACUUUAAAUUUUAACAAUAAGGACAAAAUAAAGGGUAAAAUGAAUAGUACCAUGAUUGACUUUUUAGUGUAAAAAUAUGGUUUUUCGUUAAAAUGAACAGUACAUGGACCUUUUCGUUAGAGUUCUCUUUUUUUAAUCUAGCUACCUUUAUGAAAAGCUUCAUUUUAUACCCGUAUAGUAAGCAGAUAUUUGAAAUUAGUUUUUUUUUUCUUCAAAUAUUUGAAAUUAGUUUGAUACAACUAUUUUUGAAAUUACUUUAGUUUGAGUAUUUAAUUUUUUUUAAAUGAUACAAAAAUUAAAAAAUUAAAAUAUUUAUAUGAAGGGACAAAAUUAGUAUCAAAAUAAGUAAUCGGAUAAUUGGACUCAACUGGAUCCAAAAGCCAAUACCAAACGGGUAAUAAGUUCAUUUACUCCAAAAUUACCAAUUUAUUAAUUUAUCGACGCUUAAUACUACGAAUUAAUGAUAUUCAUUUUCACUUGUAAGUAAGAUGUCUUAGGUUCGAUUCUCGACAAAACUAAAUUUGAACCGUAUUAUUGCUAGCCCUUUGUGAGACUUAGUUUACCCCCUUCCCUUUAGUAUAUAUAAUAUUGUUUGUUAAAAAACAUUACCAAUUUAUUUCAUUGUUUUAUUCUAUUGUUAUAACUUAGUGCAAAUUGUUUUCUUAUUAUUGUUUAGUUUCUCUGUUUGUUGCGGGUAGAGAUUCCUUCUAUCAUCAUACAUAGAUAUAUUUAUUUAUAAACAGGUCUCAACUUCCCAAUCAUGGGGCUAACAACCAUAUCCUUCAUGCUCUUCCACAUAUGAAAUAACAUUAUUUUUAUAAGUGGGAUUAGUCUCCUUAAUGUCAUGGGUCACUCUAACCUCGAAAAGGUGGAAUAUCAUAUAGUUUCCACGUUACAGAUUAAUUGAUUUGAUGGAGAUGAUCAUUUCGCCUAUUGCCAUCAGGUCUUCGACAUUCUUAAGUUGUGUUACGUGUCCGUUGCCGACGAUGAUACAAUAGCUGAUUGGAUCGUGUCUUUAUUGUUUACUUAUGAUUGUUUUUAUUUUACUUUAAUUGUUUUCUGCUCAUUUACCCAUAUCUAUACUACUUAUUGAUAAAAAGUGAUGCUAUGUCAAUCUCGUUGUUUUAUUUUCUCAACCAUUUUAAUAUGGAGAUUUUAUUUGUAAAUUUAAUCUCAAUUCAAAAUGAUCUUGAAGACCUAAACAAAAUAAGGUUCUAAAAAUUUAAAACGUGAUCGAAGAGAACCAUUUCAACAUAUUUAGAAAUGAUUCAUGUACAGCGAUAUCACAUAAUCACCAUAAGCAUGCAAAUUGUGGAGCAUGCACGAUCAUGUUAUAAGAUUUUACACACUUAGACUAUCUCCAACCUUGAGCUAAAACCUAAAAUUUUUAGCUUUAAAAAUUUAGGUUUUAGCCUAGAAAUAGUUUUUCUGCUUCAACCCUUCUGGUCUAAAUUUUUUAGCCUGAGAUUAUUAAAGAAUAAAUUUAGGCUAAUUUUUUAUAUUAAAGUAAUUUAAAAAAAAAUUGUAUGCUAUCAUAAUUUAAUUUUAUGAACAUUAUAACCUAAAAAUAUUUAAAUUCUAAUAAAUAUUGAAAAAUCACUAAAUUUGGGUGAAUUUUGAGUUAAAUAAUUUUUUUAAUUAUUUUAGUCGUUGUAUUUAAAUUUGGGCCGUUAGAUCUUUGUUUUACUGUUAGAUUUGAUUAUAUUCGAUCUCAGCCGUUUGAUUCAAUAAAUUCUGUGAGAUAUGCCCAUGUGGGUAGGGUCCCGCUGAUGGUGCCCACACCAUUUUCUGGGCUAAAUCCUAGGGGAAAUAUGGCUUUUUUUUAGCUUUUAGCCCACACAUUUAGCAUGAGUUAGGUUGGGUUUUGGGGGGGGGGAGGGGGGAAUAAAACCUAAACAAUAGCAUUUAACCCAGGGUUGAGAUCCCUAAAAAAAAAAAAACCCCAGGGUUGAGUUUGGUCUUAUAAUAUAACAAUGAGGCCACACAACAACCUAAAGUUAAGAUAUUUGAUUUUCUUUCUUAAGAUGUUUGAAUUUAAUUAAUAAGUUGCAGGUUGCAGAGUACAAAACAUGGGUGGUGGUCUGGAUAUGAAACCUACAUUUUGGGUUAGCCUGUAUCAGGGGAAAACUGUGUUUAUAUAUUUAUUAAUUAUGUAGGUAUAUAAUUUCUUUUUGAGGCUCGUGACCCCCGACAAGUAGAAAUUCACAUAACAUGCUUAUAAAAUUAUAGUACUCUAAUUAAAAUUGUAGCUUCUUGAAUUAAUCAUUGCUUGCGGGUGUAAGCCAAUAACAAUAACAUAGAGGGAAUCAUGCAAGCAAACAAGGAACCCAAGGGCUGAAUUAUCAAGCACAUGAUCAAGUUAAGAAUGGGAAGCUAAUUAAUUAAUUAAUAAUCAUGGAUGAAACAGAAAACCCCCCUGAUUAAAUACUCUAGACGAAUCAGCUCAUGAUCAUUCAUAGGUAAACUUAGUUAUGAUUAAGAAGAUUGGAAUAUUUAAUUAAUUGGAAGCCAAGGGCUGAAUUAUCAAGCACAUGAUCAAGUUAAGAAUGGGAAGCUAAUUAAUUAAUAAUCAUGGAUGAAACAGAAAAUCGAUCAGCUCAUGAUCAUUCAUAGGUAAACUUAGUUAUGAUUAAGAAGAUUGGAGUAAAUUAAUUGGAAGCUAAUCAUAUAGAUGCUAACGGAUACACAAUGGUCAAUGAUGUUGCACGCUACCAUACUACCAGUGUGAAUAUGUAUUUAUCUUAAUCAAUUAAGAUAUGGUUUUACACAUGCAGAGGACCGUGUUCGAUCAUUUGUGUCAUCACUCCCCUUAUCAUCUUCCACGUGUGCACAUGGUGCCACAUGGUUAACUUUGGUCAUUUUUGUAAGGGAAAUGUUAUUAGCACUUUAAAAUUUUCAUUCUACACUUCUCACAAGUAUAUUUUUCUUUCUAAUUAUAGAAAGUUUGGAGCGUCAAAUGAGAUUUUUUGAGUGCUAAUAACAAUUUCCUUUUGUAACCCCAAGUUGAUCAUUUUCAAUUAUUGACAAAUUAGGGUAUACAAACUAAUCAAGACGAAAAGCCAUGCAAUAUCCUCAAAUUUUGUAGUCUCGUCUACUAGGUCAUUUUAUUUAUAUUUAAUACCAUAUUUUUGUACUAUAUUUUCAUAUCAUCUUAAGUGACAUUUGAUGUGGACAACCAUAUCAUUUGAAUUAAUCAGAUUUGUAAAUUUAGUUCAUUAUUUAAUAAACUAAUAAUUAAGAAAAAUUAGUUAAUUAAAUGAUGAUUGUGGUAUACGAUGAGUCUUUCUCCUUCAUUUUCUUGGGUUUUGCAAAUUUUUCAAAUGAUGUGGCUGUCCACAUCAGAUGCCACCUAAAAUGUAGUAUAAAAACAUGGUAUGAAUAUUAUUACUCUAUUUAAUAAAACGAUACUAAGGAGAGGGGAGGGGAGAUUGUUAGCAUACAAUCAAGUGUGGUAGAUUUUUCUUCGAUCGGGUUGAAAUUUCCAACAAGAUUUUUAUCAAGGCCAAUUACGCAUCCUAUCCCCAAAUUGUACGGUUUUCUAAUCAUUAAUAAAUAUCGUACUUUUUCUCAAAAAGUGUGGUAGAUUUCACCUCACACAUGACAACUUAACUAACUAAUACACUCAAAGUGUAAUUGCAAUAUGACAGAACUAGUUAGGUUUAUCCUUGUUUUUAAUAUUAAUAAUCAAGCUUACUUACCUUUAUGUAUCUAAUUAAGCCCAAUUUGUGAAAUGUACCAAUCAUAAUUCAUUUGUCAAUUAUCAUAGCUCUUUGCUUUAUUCUCUCUCUCGCUCUCUCGAAAAUAGUAAAGUACAUUGAUUAACCCUAAGAUUAGGUUUUCAUCUAUAUAAUUGUGUAACUGGUAAAGCCAAAAAACAAGGUAUGUAUGUAUGGGAUCUGGAUCAUAUUCAACACACUAUUCAAUAAUCACUUUGUUAAACUUAAUACUUCUUGCCCUUGAUUUUUGUUAAUGUAUAUAUAAUAUUCAUUACAAAACCGAAAGUCGUGUAACAACAUGCAUGCAUGUGCAUGUGGCGAUCUGUUACAAAGUGUAACAACGCACAUUCUUUUUUGUGAUCCAAAAGGUUAUGGGGUUUAGGAAUUGCAACAGGUUUUCGGGGUCAAAAGUAAAAUUUUUAAACUACUUAAUCGAGCUCACAGAUUACAAAUCUAGGGCCGAGAAAUUUAAACCUAACGCGAAGGGGAUCAUACAGCCAAAACCAUGGCAAGUCAUGUCCAAUGAUCACAUCCAAGAGAGGAAACAAAAAAUGACACUGCCACGCAAUCAACAUGAACUAAUAACAACAAAAAUUGUAACCAAGCGGCAGAUAAUUUAAGUUGUUUUUUUUUUUUUUUUUUUUUUUUUUUUUUUUUUUGGGUUAAAGGUAGCUUUAUGCUAUCAUGGUUGAAGCUUUAUGUGUCUUCGGGUUGUCAAUUGUCUUUCCAAAUAUCUAAUAUCUAAACUAAGAUAGGAUGGAUACUCAGUGUAUCCUCAGGUCGUAAGCACAUAUCCCAUAAAUAAUUAAGGAAUUCUUGGUCAAGUGACUUUACCAGAAAAAACUGCCAACUGCCAUAAUAAACUAGCUAGAAACCAAAUAAGAACAUUGUAUCUGUAUCUAUUAUUGGAUGGAUUAGUGAUUAAGUUUGUAAUUAAUCUAAUCCAAGAU